rnacentral:rRNA from 1 species
GGCGGACGGGUGAGUAACGCGUAAGGAACUUGCCUCUUGGACUGGGACAACUGUUGGAAACGACAGCUAAUACCGGAUAUUAUGAGAUUCUCGCAUGGGAAACUUAUGAAAGCUAUAUGCGCCAAGAGAGAGCCUUGCGUUCCAUUAGCUAGUUGGUGGGGUAACGGCCCACCAAGGCGACGAUGGAUAGCCGGCCUGAGAGGGUGAACGGCCACAAGGGGACUGAGACACGGCCCUUACUCCUACGGGAGGCAGCAGUGGGGAAUAUUGGACAAUGGGCCACAAGUCUGAUCCAGCAAUUCUGUGUGCACGAUGAAGGUCUUCGGAUUGUAAAGUGCUUUCAGUUGGGAAGAAGAAAGUGACGGUACCAACAGAAGAAGCGACGGCUAAAUACGUGCCAGCAGCCGCGGUAAUACGUAUGUCGCAAGCGUUAUCCGGAUUUAUUGGGCGUAAAGCGCGUCUAGGCGGAAAAAUAAGUCUGAUGUUAAAAUGCGGGGCUCAACUCCGUAUUGCGUUGGAAACUGUUUUUCUAGAGUACUGGAGAGGUGGGCGGAACUACAAGUGUAGAGGUGAAAUUCGUAGAUAUUUGUAGGAAUGCCGAUGGAGAAGUCAGCUCACUGGACAGAUACUGACGCUGAAGCGCGAAAGCGUGGGGAGCAAACAGGAUUAGAUACCCUG